rnacentral:rRNA from 1 species
AUUGAACGCUGGCGGCAUGCCUUACACAUGCAAGUCGAACGGCAGCACGGGAGCAAUCCUGGUGGCGAGUGGCGAACGGGUGAGCAAUAUAUCGGAACGUGCCCAGUAGUGGGGGAUAACUGCUCGAAAGAGCAGCUAAUACCGCAUACGACCUGAGGGUGGAAGGGGGGGAUCGCAAGACCUCUCGCUAUUGGAGCGGCCGAUAUCAGAUUAGCUAGUUGGUGGGGUAAAGGCCUACCAAGGCAUCGAUCUGUAGUUGGUCUGAGAGGACGACCAGCCACACUGGGACUGAGACACGGCCCAGACUCCUACGGGAGGCAGCAGUGGGGAAUUUUGGACAAUGGGCGCAAGCCUGAUCCAGCAAUGCCGCGUGCAGGAAGAAGGCCUUCGGGUUGUAAACUGCUUUUGUCAGGGAAGAAAUCCUCUAGGUUAAUACCCUUGGGGGGAUGACGGUACCUGAAGAAUAAGCACCGGCUAACUACGUGCCAGCCGCCGCCGUAACAC